GCCUCGCUGGUAACAGAGAGGGCACAUGUAAACCCCAUCCGAAGCAAGACCGAAUAAAAGCUAUGUGGUGGCCCGUCACGCUUUAGGUAGGUUGCUUGAACCCGAUGGCAACAUCGGGUCUAGAUAGAUGAUUGUCCAAUGACAUAACCCGGCUUAUCGUUUUGCUUAAUUU
rnacentral:RNase_P_RNA from 1 species